UGUGUGUGUGUGUGUGUGUGUGUGUGUGUGUGUGUAUGUAUGUAUGUAUGUAUAUAUAUAUAUAUAUAUAUAUACACACACAUAUAUACACACACACACACACACA